ACACGGUGAAUCUAAAUCAUCAGCUUUUCUUCUCUCUUGGCUCUACUACUUCUACAAUUCCUAUAAUCUUUUGGAGUUGUCUUUGAUUUAAAUUAUUAUUUUCGUGUAUUCCAUGUACACCCACCUUCUCUUGCUAUGAAGUAACCCCUUCACCAGGAUUUCAAUGGCAAGGGCCAAGGGGUGAUCAAAUCCAUCUGCUUGUUUUACUCAAGAAAUUACCAAGUCUUAUGGCUGCACCAAAAUGGCAAAAACGAUAUGCAGCAGUUACAAUCAUUUGUGUCACUGCGAAACGAUGUUUAAAGAUUUAUGCCAAAGCUUUGCAUAUUAUUAUUGAAUUUAAUGUUUGAUUCUGCACUCAAGACUGCUCCUCUCUUGGAUAUGUGCAGUUUGAUCAGAAAUUUGAUUGUUAUAAUUGACCACUUCUACAAAUAGAUUGCUAAGCAUACACACACACAAAAAAAAAUUGUGAUAUCUUCUAGCUAGAAAACUUGAAAUGGCACAAUGAUUCCUUUCUUUGUUUUUUUUUUAAUGUUAUUUCUUAAUUUCAAUGUAAGUGUUCUUCCUUUUUUUUUCAAUUUUCAUGCUUUGUUUUCCUCUCGUAUCUUUCUUCUUUUUCUUGAAACAGGAAUAAAAAAUAGCUAGGUCGGCAAAGAUUAAAGAUUAGUCUAAGGAUUCCAAUAUUGUCUUAAGUCGUGAAAAAAUGAUUGAAUGUGAUGUCCCAAGACGAAGAAUUGGAUUCCAAUCAUGAAAAAUGAAUAUGUCCCUAAAUAAAAUGUACAAAGUCUGUUGACAUACAAAAUAUGAAAUGUGCUUUAUCACACCUGGAAUUCCUUUUUCAAGACUUAUUUCUCUAUGAACCUUUAGGUAAUUCUAGCUUUUUUCCUAUCUUUAUGCAGUAAUUUAUGAUAAAAUAUUUAAUCACUCAUGAGCUAUCUGAUCUCUUCAUAUGUUUAGGAGACUGAUUGUAAUCUGAAUUUAUUCUCAAACAUAUAUCCUACCUUAAAAUUUUUCGAAUGUGAAAGUUUAACAUAUUUGUAGAUAGAUAAGUAGUUAAACUUUGGUCUAUGUGCUUAAUGUUUUAUAUGUAUUUGAGAAAAUUUCGAUUGAUAUAAUUGGAUAUCUUUUGCUGAUGUUAAAACUUCUUCCCUAGGUUGAUGAGUUGCAGAACGCAAUAGAGGAAUAACAGAAGAAUUUGGUUGAAGAGAUUAGGAAUGCAGUUAAUGAUCAUAUAAGAGUAGGCUGGAGGAUGCUACUGGGGAUCCUGAAGUAAUGGCUCUGAAUUAGCGAGUGAAUUACAACUAAGCUCCAUGAUUAUAACUUUAUUCUUUCAUACAUCAGCUAAUUGUAGCAACAGAUCUCCUAAUGCAGUUCAAGUCUUUAACUGCUAUAGCCUUUGUAUGAUGCAUAUGCUACUUCAUAUUAGAGGAUUUACAUCUCAGUAACUAGCCAACUGCUUAGAGUGCAAUGCUAAUAUUGCAUAAAAGUACUGGUACUCGAGAGGCAUUUCCUUCUUCGUAA